UACGUAGGGCGCAAGCGUUGUCCGGAAUUAUUGGGCGUAAAGAGCUCGUAGGCGGCUUGUCACGUCGGGUGUGAAAGACCGGGGCUUAACUCCGGUUCUGCAUUCGAUACGGGCUAGCUAGAGUGUGGUAGGGGAGAUCGGAAUUCCUGGUGUAGCGGUGAAAUGCGCAGAUAUCAGGAGGAACACCGGUGGCGAAGGCGGAUCUCUGGGCCAUUACUGACGCUGAGGAGCGAAAGCAUGGGGAGCGAACAGG
rnacentral:rRNA from 1 species